rnacentral:lncRNA from 1 species
AAGCCAACACCCAUCCACGAAGUACAUACGGAGGUACCAGUUAGGUAGUGACUUUGAAGACACAUGAAGUAGAGAAUACAGAGCUCUCUAACCUGGAAUGAGGUAUAUAUCUAGGCAAAAUUGUAAUAAGGAAAGAAAAUGCCUGUGCUGGUACAACCUAUUUGCAUGGAUGUAGAAAGAGGAAUGUCUUUAAAUUUUGCGGCAACAAAUCAGAAUUGUAUAGAAAGAAUUGACGCAGCCUUAAGAUGACAAGAGAAGUGUGAGCAGCACCAGCGCCAAUUUAUUCUAAAACAGAAAGUUGAGCUGUAUGAGCUUUUGUCAGUUCAGAUGUGACGGGACUUCCAAGAAAGAGGUCGUUCUUGAGCAGUUCCAAAAAAGGCAGCUGAGAACAGAACUCCACUUUCAAGAUAACAAUGAUUCUAAAGAUUCAAGAUUUAGGCCUAUGUGCGAAUUUUCUUUUCUGUUAAACCAGCAAAAUUUGUCGAACUUUACCGACGUUUCGUGGAUUAGCAAUCUACAUUCUCAAGUGACGUAUUCAAUUUGAAAGGGGGCUGUUCAAGGUUCAUCAUAUAAUAGAGAAAAUAGAACAGAAAUAUAAUAGCGUAUUUUUGAUGAUUACAAGGUAUUGUUUUGUAUAGACUGCAUUCUUAGUCUAAUAAGGUGUGAUCUUGACAUUGCCAAAAAAUAUUGAGUUCACAUUGUCUAUUGGCACAGGAAUCCAUUAUAUUAUACAACGGGUUUCAUACACUAGUGUACAUUUUUUUGUACAAAUGAAAAAUACAAUUUGAGGCUUGCCAUCCCAAAACGAGCGUACUAUUUUUAGUAUAACAAUAUGGCAGUAAUGUAUACGUUAGUACAGAAUACUUUUAUUUAUAACUUUGGCAAUUAGUCAGUAGGGUCUAGUUGACUUAUCAUUUUAAAGCUUAUAAUGUAGUGAAUGUGCAUAUUAAAAAGUAACUUUUUUUGGUCAACGACCCUAGUCGGUUGGCCAAACGGUUAAGACAGGGAACCGUGACAUAGGCCUACAACCAUAAUAUCGGUGCUGGUUCGAACGGCACUCCUGCUUAUGAUUCCAGUGGUGGAACAAGUUCUUAGGGUAAGGACACUAAACGGUAGGUUCAGUGUACACAAUUUUCUCGUGUGCAAUUUAAAGAACCCUGUACAUCCUAGGAGGUAGAGUUUCUGGUGUACUGGUCCAUUUCAGCCCCCUGUCCGGCCACGAAAUAAUUGCAACUUUCCUGAGGUGUGUCCAACUUGGGGUGUAUUAAAGACUACUCAUUCGUAAUUUCAGAAAGUUUGAUCACUGUAAGUUGCACUAAACCGUCUGCAAUUAUUGAUGAUGUUCCUCUAACAUAGAUUGAUUGUUUCUCAGUAAUUUAUGAAAUAGUUUCGAUGUCUUAUACCACCAUCUGCCGUCGCUGGGGUUAUUACAGACAUGCAGGUUAUGAUCGGAUGGUUUGAUAUCUGUGGUAAAUCGUUCAAAACUGUUUUCAAAUGGUAUGUUCUGUUUAUUUAAUUGUUUCUCAAUAUUUCCAUCAGAAAUACUAGACACAGUAAUAAUAUGGAAUAGUCGUGAUAUAUUUUGCUCAUGGAAUACACAGGUAGGCCUAUACACUCUCAAUAUAAGCUGUUAUCGAUUGAACUUUAUUUACCGUAUCUUCCAGCAGAACCAAAGCUUCCAGGAAGCAUAAUCUUCUCAAAUCUUUUUUGUAA